GGGUGCGAUCAUACCAGCACUAAUGCACCGGAUCCCAUCAGAACUCCGAAGUUAAGCGUGUUUGGGCGAGAAUAGUACUAGGUGGGUGACGCCUGGGAAGUACUCGUGGGUUGCACCCU